rnacentral:rRNA from 1 species
AGUGAACGCUGGCGGUAGGCCUAACACAUGCAAGUCGAACGGCAGCACAGUAAGAGCUUGCUCUUACGGGUGGCGAGUGGCGGACGGGUGAGGAAUACAUCGGAAUCUACUUUUUCGUGGGGGAUAACGUAGGGAAACUUACGAUAAUACCGCAUACGACCUACGGGUGAAAGCAGGGGAUCUUCGGACCUUGCGCGAUUGAAUGAGCCGAUGUCGGAUUAGCUGGUGGGCGGGGUAAAGGCCCACCAAGGCGGCGAUCCGUAGCUGGUCUGAGAGGAUGAUCAGCCACACUGGAACUGAGACACGGUCCAGACUCCUACGGGAGGCAGCAGUGGGGAAUAUUGGACAAUGGGCGCAAGCCUGAUCCAGCCAUACCGCGUGGGUGAAGAAGGCCUUCGGGUUGUAAAGCCCUUUUGUUGGGAAAGAAAAGCAGCAGGUUAAUACCCCGCUGUUCUGACGGUACCCAAAGAAUAAGCACCGGCUAACUUCGUG